rnacentral:rRNA from 1 species
UAGGGGAUAUUGGUAAAUGGGCGAAAGCCUGACCCAGCAACGCCGCGUGCGCGAAGAAGGCCUUCGGGUUGUAAAGCGCUUUUCUGAGGGAUGAGGAAGGACAGUACCUGAGGAAUAAGUCUCGGCUAACUACGUGCCAGCAGCCGCGGUAAGACGUAGGAGACGAGCGUUAUCCGGAUUUACUGGGCGUAAAGCGCGUGCAGGCGGCUCGUUAAGUUGGAUGUGAAAGCCCCUGGCUAAACUAGGGGAGGUCGUUCAAGACUGGCGGGCUAGAGUGCAGCAGAGGAGAGUGGAAUUCCGAGUGUAGCGGUAAAAUGCACAGAUAUUCGGAAGAACACCAGAGGCGAAGGCGGCUCUCUGGGCUGCAACUGACGCUCAGACGCGAAAGCUAGGGGAGCGAACGG